UACGUAGGGUGCGAGCGUUGUCCGGAAUCAUUGGGCGUAAAGCGCGUGUAGGCGGCCCGGUAAGUCCGCUGUGAAAGUCGGGGGCUCAACCCUCGAAUGCCGGUGGAUACUGUCGGGCUAGAGUGCGGGAGAGGCGAGUGGAAUUCCUGGUGUAGCGGUGAAAUGCGCAGAUAUCAGGAGGAACACCAAUUGCGAAGGCAGCUCGCUGGGACGUUACUGACGCUGGAGAACGCGAAAGCGUGGGGAGCAAACAGG
rnacentral:rRNA from 1 species